AGUAGCGUGCCCAAGACCCGAAGCGGAGUGAUCUAGCCAUGGGCAGGUUGAAGCGGAGGUAAGACUUCGUGGAGGACCGAACCCACCAGGGUUGAAAACCUGGGGGAUGACCUGUGGUUAGGGGUGAAAGGCCAAUCAAACUCCGUGAUAGCUGGUUCUCCCCGAAAUGCAUUUAGGUGCAGCGUCGUGUGUUUCUUGCCGGAGGUAGAGCACUGGAUAGGCGAUGGGCCCUACCGGGUUACUGACCUUAGCCAAACUCCGAAUGCCGGUAAGUGAGAGCGCGGCAGUGAGACUGUGGGGGAUAAGCUCCAUGGUCGAGAGGGAAACAGCCCAGAGCAUCGACUAAGGCCCCUAAGCGUGUGCUAAGUGGGAAAGGAUGUGGAGUCGCAGAGACAACCAGGAGGUUGGCUUAGAAGCAGCCAUCCUUGAAAGAGUGCGUAAUAGCUCACUGGUCAAGUGAUUCCGCGCCGACAAUGUAGCGGGGCUCAAGCACACCGCCGAAGUCAUGUCAUUGCAGUAUGUACUCCUAACGGGGACUGUGAUGGGUAGGGGAGCGUCGUGUGCCGGGUGAAGCAGCGCCGGAAGGUAGUUGUGGACGGUUCACGAGUGAGAAUGCAGGCAUGAGUAGCGAUACACACGUGGGAAACGUGUGCGCCGAUUGACUAAGGGUUCCUGGGUCAAGCUGAUCUGCCCAGGGUAAGUCGGGACCUAAGGCGAGGCCGACAGGCGUAGUCGAUGGACAACCGGUUGAUAUUCCGGUACCCGCUUUGAAGCGCCAAACAUCGAAUCCAUUAAUGCUAAGGCCGUGAAGCCGCCCUGGAGUCUUCGGACAAAGGGGAGUGGUGGAGCCGCUGAUCCAAGGUGGUAGUAGGUGAGUGAUGGGGUGACGCAGGAAGGUAGUCCAGCCCGGGCGGUGGUUGUCCCGGGGUAAGGGUGUAGGACGCACGGUAGGCAAAUCCGUCGUGCAUGAAGUCUGAGACCUGAUGCCGAGCCGAUUGUGGUGAAGUGGAUGAUCCUAUGCUGUCGAGAAAAGCCUCUAGCGAGUUUCAUGGCGGCCCGUACCCUAAACCGACUCAGGUGGUCAGGUAGAGAAUACCGAGGCGUUCGGGUGAACUAUGGUUAAGGAACUCGGCAAAAUGCCCCCGUAACUUCGGGAGAAGGGGGGCCACGGCUGGUGAUCACCCUUGCGGUGUGAGCUGGUGGUGGCCGCAGAGACCAGCGAGAAGCGACUGUUUACUAAAAACACAGGUCCGUGCGAAGCCGUAAGGCGAUGUAUACGGACUGACGCCUGCCCGGUGCUGGAACGUUAAGGGGACCGGUUAGCUCCAUUUCGGUGGGGCGAAGCUGAGAACUUAAGCGCCAGUAAACGGCGGUGGUAACUAUAACCAUCCUAAGGUAGCGAAAUUCCUUGUCGGGUAAGUUCCGACCUGCACGAAUGGCGUAACGACUUCUCGACUGUCUCAACCAUAGGCCCGGUGAAAUUGCACUACGAGUAAAGAUGCUCGUUUCGCGCAGCAGGACGGAAAGACCCCGGGACCUUUACUAUAGCUUGAUAUUGGUGUUUGGUUCGGCUUGUGUAGGAUAGGUGGGAGACUGUGAAGCCGUGACGCCAGUCAUGGUGGAGUCGUUGUUGAAAUACCACUCUGGUCGUGCUGGAUGUCUAACCUGGGUCCGUGAUCCGGAUCAGGGACAGUGUCUGGUGGGUAGUUUAACUGGGGCGGUUGCCUCCUAAAGGGUAACGGAGGCGCCCAAAGGUUCCCUCAGCCUGGUUGGCAAUCAGGUGUUGAGUGUAAGUGCACAAGGGAGCUUGACUGUGAGACUGACGGGUCGAGCAGGUACGAAAGUAGGGACUAGUGAUCCGGCGGUGGCUUGUGGAAGCGCCGUCGCUCAACGGAUAAAAGGUACCCCGGGGAUAACAGGCUGAUCUUCCCCAAGAGUCCAUAUCGACGGGAUGGUUUGGCACCUCGAUGUCGGCUCGUCGCAUCCUGGGGCUGGAGUCGGUCCCAAGGGUUGGGCUGUUCGCCCAUUAAAGCGGUACGCGAGCUGGGUUUAGAACGUCGUGAGACAGUUCGGUCCCUAUCCGCUGUGCGCGUAGGAGUCUUGAGAAGGGCUGUCCCUAGUACGAGAGGACCGGGACGGACGAACCUCUGGUGUGCCAGUUGUUCUGCCAAGGGCAUGGCUGGUUGGCUACGUUCGGAAAGGAUAACCGCUGAAAGCAUCUAAGCGGGAAGCCUGCUUCGAGAUGAGGGCUCCCUCCCACUUGAUGGGGUAAGGCUCCCAGUAGACGACUGGGUUGAUAGGCCAGAUAUGGAAGCUAAUAGGCCGAGGGCUUGUCCUCAGUUGCUCGCGUC
rnacentral:rRNA from 1 species